CGGCCAUGUGUUUGGACAGUUAAUAGACACUGCAGUAAAUAAAACCGAAUAAAAACAUCUGUCUCGUCCAGGACCGGAGUGUCUCGUCCAGGACCGGAGUCUACACAGACUGUUAAGCCAUAGCCAAUCAGAGCUGAUGUGUGGUGAGCGUUGGUCACCGUGUAUCACCCAGGUAUGUGACACAGAUUGGUGGUGGAUGAGUGCAGGCAUACCCUGGCCGACCUUGGACUUGGGAGGUUUUUGAUACGGAGCUAUUUACCGACAGAUUAUGGGGAUAGUCGGCCUUCACCCCUGUCUCCAGCCUGAUGGACAACCUGACCUCUCAGUGGAUCCCUGAUCUCACCUCCUUGAUCUCAGCCUUCACAGUCAAACGCUCCUCUGCUUACUGAUAUCUGUGUUAUGUGAGGACUCUCAGGAUGACUGUUAGGUACCAUUGUUUUUUUAGCGCAUCACUAUUAAUCAAACCUAUGGAUGGGAGGGUUGACCUGAACCUUGCAGCGUGGCAGGACAAGUAACCUGAAGUCAUAUUACCUCCACCAUCUCUAACCAACUGAAAACACACACAUGCACUGAGAUGAUCAUGAACUGGUCUCUAGGAGAUACUGGUGAACAACUGGAAUGUUUUUUCUUCUAGGCUCCCUGCUCAGUUCCUCCAAAUCUAAAGAGAUCAUUUUACUUAACAGUGAUGAUGGCUGGUCAGAACUCAGAUCUAAGGAGGCUCUCCAAUAUCUUAGUUGGCUGAAUGUAGGUUCGAUCAAACGUGUGCUAUGGAUGUAUAUUUAGAUUUGACCUAGCUAUCUCAAAGUGAGUGACUUUUAAAGAUUAUAAGAUGAAAUGGGGAAUAAACCAAACCAAGACAAUGAUACUGACCGUAGGCUACACUCUUACAAAAAAAAGGUUCUGUCUAGAACCUAAAACAGUUCUUCAGCUGUUCCCAAAGGAGAACCCUUUGAAUGACUAUUUUUGGUUGCAGGUAGAACCCUUUUUGUUCCAGGUAGAACCCUUUUGGCUUUCAUGUAAAACCCUUUCCACAGAGGUUUCUACAUGGAACCCAAAAGAGUUCUACCUGUAACCAAAAAGGAACCAAUAGGGUUCUCCUAGGGUUCUCCUAUGGGGACAGCUGAAAACCCCUUUUGGAACCCUUUUUCUAAGAGUGUAGUUAACAGUUGGAAACUUAGCUAUGCUUUCUCAAACAAUUGUGACUUGCUGUGUGGCUGAUAAAAUGUGCAAUGAUGAUUGGGUUACAGCUCCCCCUUCCACCCUCUAGAGAACCUGUAUCCUGUGACUCACACUCUUACUUACCCCCUGGGUUUACCCCCAUAGGGGCCCGAUCCCUUUUGGUAGUUCCAGUUUGGACUUAAUCACCCCUGAGUGUGCCCUUGGGACCUAUUUAGAACAUGUCGCCUACACUCUGAAGGUAACGUUUCUUUGGCACCUCUCUGCCCCAAGUGUUAAAAGAGUGCAUCUUCAAAAUGGGAGUUGCCAUAUGUACCGGGCUGGCGGUUUCAAAUGGGCUUUCCAUCAAGUGCCAGUGUAUUUUACUCCUCUUACAGCCAGGGCACACUCAGAACCAAGGACAGGUCCUCUGUUGAAAGCUCUGCCAUCUUUGGGGAAGUGUUUUAGUGGGUUUGGAGGUUGAGAGGACUUGGAGGAAUGUUCUGGCUGGGGAAAGUCUGGUAAAUUAGACUGAAGGCGGGGUAAUAUCACAGACCUAGGAGCACUUAAAGAAAGAGAGGAUGAUCUGAUGGGCCAUGUGUUGGGGGUUGGGCGGAUGCUGAAGGUAACAGGGUUCAUGGAUUCAUCUGGUGUAGAGGUAAUCUGGUAUAUACAUACAUACUUGAAAAUAAAAGUGCUUCUUCAAAGCUUAUCAAUAAUGCUAAUGAUCUAAUUUCAAUAUGUACUGGAUGAGAAUUAAUCAGGCAUUCAGUCAUGUGGAC
rnacentral:lncRNA from 1 species